CUCAAAGGAUUCUUUCUGCGGAUGGAUCUAUGCAUGCUAUAUGAAACUUUGUUGAAGCCAUUGUAUGCUGUGAAGAAACAAGAGCCCAUCCAAGCAGAAACACAUCUUCAGCCAUCAAAGCAAGCAUGGCUAGAGCAGACUGGAUGUUCAAAGAGUAAGCUGUGUUCUUCCCAAAGUGAACUUCAGCAGUCGGAUGUUUUCUGUAGCCCCAGGAUGGCAGGAUCAGCUGUUUGGGACCAGGUGCUGCUUCCUGGGACAGGUUGCUCGGGUUGGAUGGGGUCAUGAGGACUUGCAUUAAUGAUCUUUUAUUUUAUAUUCUAUUUCUAUUUUGUUAUUUUAUUAAACUGUGUUUAUCU